GAGCCAGUGGCACAGUGGUCUGAGCAUUGGAUUAUGACUCAGGAGACCAGGGUUCAGAUCCCUACUUGGCCA